rnacentral:rRNA from 1 species
AGUGAACGCUGGCGGUAGGCCUAACACAUGCAAGUCGAACGGCAGCACAGUAAGAGCUUGCUCUUACGGGUGGCGAGUGGCGGACGGGUGAGGAAUACAUCGGAAUCUACUUUUUCGUGGGGGAUAACGUAGGGAAACUUACGCUAAUACCGCAUACGACCUACGGGUGAAAGCACGGGAUCUUCGGACCUUGCGCGAUUGAAUGAGCCGAUGUCGGAUUAGCUAGUUGGCGGGGUAAAGGCCCACCAAGGCGACGAUCCGUAGCUGGUCUGAGAGGAUGAUCAGCCACACUGGAACUGAGACACGGUCCAGACUCCUACGGGAGGCAGCAGUGGGGAAUAUUGGACAAUGGGCGCAAGCCUGAUCCGGCCAUACCGCGUGGGUGAAGAAGGCCUUCGGGUUGUAAAGCCCUUUUGUUGGGAAAGAAAAGCAGCAGGUUAAUACCCCGCUGUUCUGACGGUACCCAAAGAAUAAGCACCGGCUAACUUCGUG